GGAAGCUGCGCUCAGCCACUCUUUCUUUUAUCUAAUGGAGAAUCAUUUUCCGAUCACUCCAGGCUGUCACGAUUGAGCUGUUGAGUCAUCUCAGUGCAUGUCUGAACAAACAGAUUUUUGCUCAAUAUAGCAGCUGCAGGAAGAAUAUGAUCCAAACUUCACGAUUAUUUCCAGCCGCUCAGAAACACAGAGCAGCGCUUUAUAAGUGUCGUGCGGAGGAGGGUAAAGAAAGCCAGGCAAGCCUGCUGUCGAUGUGAGGAAGGUGCUCAUAACUUGCUGGCAGCCCCAAGCCAAUAGCACAAAACAGAUGUCGGCGGGAAAGAAGACAAAUUACAAACUUCCUGUGCUUGACCAGUGUUUACUCUGCCUUCCUGAGCCCGGGAGUCACAGAGACCGUCGCCAAGAUACCGUACCACAUCAAUUGUGGAUGCUAUGUUAUUUCCAGAUGACAUAAACUCAAAGUAUCCCACUCUUGUGCCAAAUGGGGGCAAAUGU